ensembl:snoRNA Gm25369 U8 small nucleolar RNA
ACAUUAUGUGGGGCAAUCUUUACGUGCUCUUCCUUUGGGAAGGUAGGUUAGAGCAUACUGCUUACGGUUGCCUUAGCCUAUGAUUAUGACUCUGUAUAAUCUGGAUUUAGAACAUCCUGAUUUCUCUUACCUGAU